rnacentral:rRNA from 1 species
AUUGAACGCUGGCGGCAUGCCUUACACAUGCAAGUCGAACGGCAGCGCGGGCUUCGGCCUGGCGGCGAGUGGCGAACGGGUGAGUAAUAUAUCGGAACGUACCCAAGAGUGGGGGAUAACGUAGCGAAAGUUACGCUAAUACCGCAUACGAUCUAAGGAUGAAAGCAGGGGAUCGCAAGACCUUAUGCUCCUGGAGCGGC